rnacentral:tRNA from 1 species
AAGUAUGUAGCUCAGUGGUAGAGCCCUAGCCUAGAAUGUAUGAGGCUCUGGGUUCAAUCCCCAAUAUCAUUA